GGCGCCAUCGUCUAGUCUGGCCUAGGACACAGGCUUUUCAAGCCUGGUACACGGGUUCGAAUCCCGUUGGCGCUACAA
rnacentral:tRNA from 1 species